rnacentral:rRNA from 1 species
UAACACGUAGGUAACCUGCCCAUGUGUCCGGGAUAACUGCUGGAAACGGUAGCUAAAACCGGAUAGGUAUACAGAGCGCAUGCUCAGUAUAUUAAAGCGCCCAUCAAGGCGUGAACAUGGAUGGACCUGCGGCGCAUUAGCUAGUUGGUGAGGUAACGGCCCACCAAGGCGAUGAUGCGUAGCCGGCCUGAGAGGGUAAACGGCCACAUUGGGACCGAGACACGGCCCAA